CCUACGGGAGGCAGCAGUGAGGCAUAUUGGUCAAUGGACGAGAGUCUGAACCAGCCAAGUAGCGUGAAGGAUGACUGCCCUAUGGGUUGUAAACUUCUUUUAUAUGGGAAUAAAACGUUCCACGUGUGGGAUUUUGUAUGUACCAUAUGAAUAAGGAUCGGCUAACUCCGUGCCAGCAGCCGCGGUAAUACGGAGGAUCCGAGCGUUAUCCGGAUUUAUUGGGUUUAAAGGGAGCGUAGGUGGAUUGUUAAGUCAGUUGUGAAAGUUUGCGGCUCAACCGUAAAAUUGCAGUUGAAACUGGCAGUCUUGAGUACAGUAGAGGUGGGCGGAAUUCGUGGUGUAGCGGUGAAAUGCUUAGAUAUCACGAAGAACUCCGAUUGCGAAGGCAGUUCACUGGACUGCAACUGACACUGAGGCUCGAAAGUGUGGGUAUCAAACAGGAUUAGAUACCCGAGUAGUC
rnacentral:rRNA from 1 species